CAGUCGCCGCGGUAAUACGGAGGGGGCUAGCGUUGUUCGGAAUUACUGGGCGUAAAGCGCACGUAGGCGGCUUGGUAAGUUAGAGGUGAAAGCCCAGGGCUCAACCCUGGAAUUGCCUUUAAGACUGCCGAGCUAGUAGGUGAGAGAGGUAAGUGGAAUUCCGAGUGUAGAGGUGAAAUUCGUAGAUAUUCGGAAGAACACCAGUGGCGAAGGCGGCUUACUGGCUCAUUCUAGACGCUGAGGUGCGAAAGCGUGGGGAGCAAACAGGAUUAGAUACCCCUGUAGUCCGUCUCUUAUACAC
rnacentral:rRNA from 1 species